rnacentral:rRNA from 1 species
UUCGGAUUGUAGGCUGAAACUCGCCUACAUGAAGCUGGAGUUACUAGUAAUCGCAGAUCAGAAUGCUGCGGUGAAUGCGUUCCCGGGUCUUGUACACACCGCCCGUCACACCACGGAAGUUGGGGGCGCCCGAAGCCACUUAGCUAACCCAUUUGGGAAGCGAGUGUCGAAGGUGAAAUCAAUAACUGGGGUGAAGUCGUAACAAGGUAGC